GAUGAACGCCAUCUAGAGGCUUAACACAUGCAAGUCGAGGGGCAUCAGGAAGCAUGCUUGCUUUCUUUGCUGGCGACCGGCGCACGGGUGAGUAACACGUAUCCAACCUGCCCUUUACUCGGGGAUAGCCUUUCGAAAGAAAGAUUAAUACCCGAUGGCAUAAUGAUUCCGCAUGGUUUCAUUAUUAAAGGAUUCCGGUAAAGGAUGGGGAUGCGUUCCAUUAGGUUGUUGGUGAGGUAACGGCUCACCAAGCCUUCGAUGGAUAGGGGUUCUGAGAGGAAGGUCCCCCACAUUGGAACUGAGACACGGUCCAAACUCCUACGGGAGGCAGCAGUGAGGAAUAUUGGCCAAUGGGCGCUAGCCUGAACCAGCCAAGUAGCGUGAAGGAUGAAGGCUCUAUGGGUCGUAAACUUCUUUUAUAUAAGAAUAAAGUGCAGUAUGUAUACUGUUUUGUAUGUAUUAUAUGAAUAAGGAUCGGCUAACUCCGUGCCAGCAGCCGCGGUAAUACGGAGGAUCCGAGCGUUAUCCGGAUUUAUUGGGUUUAAAGGGAGCGUAGGUGGACUGGUAAGUCAGUUGUGAAAGUUUGCGGCUCAACCGUAAAAUUGCAGUUGAUACUGUCAGUCUUGAGUACAGUAGAGGUGGGCGGAAUUCGUGGUGUAGCGGUGAAAUGCUUAGAUAUCACGAAGAACUCCGAUUGCGAAGGCAGCUCACUGGACUGCAACUGACACUGAUGCUCGAAAGUGUGGGUAUCAAACAGGAUUAGAUACCCUGGUAGUCCACACAGUAAACGAUGAAUACUCGCUGUUUGCGAUAUACAGUAAGCGGCCAAGCGAAAGCAUUAAGUAUUCCACCUGGGGAGUACGCCGGCAACGGUGAAACUCAAAGGAAUUGACGGGGGCCCGCACAAGCGGAGGAACAUGUGGUUUAAUUCGAUGAUACGCGAGGAACCUUACCCGGGCUUAAAUUGCAGUGGAAUGAUGUGGAAACAUGUCAGUGAGCAAUCACCGCUGUGAAGGUGCUGCAUGGUUGUCGUCAGCUCGUGCCGUGAGGUGUCGGCUUAAGUGCCAUAACGAGCGCAACCCUUAUCUUUAGUUACUAACAGGUUAUGCUGAGGACUCUAGAGAGACUGCCGUCGUAAGAUGUGAGGAAGGUGGGGAUGACGUCAAAUCAGCACGGCCCUUACGUCCGGGGCUACACACGUGUUACAAUGGGGGGUACAGAAGGCAGCUAGCGGGUGACCGUAUGCUAAUCCCAAAAGCCUCUCUCAGUUCGGAUCGAAGUCUGCAACCCGACUUCGUGAAGCUGGAUUCGCUAGUAAUCGCGCAUCAGCCACGGCGCGGUGAAUACGUUCCCGGGCCUUGUACACACCGCCCGUCAAGCCAUGGGAGCCGGGGGUACCUGAAGUACGUAACCGCAAGGAUCGUCCUAGGGUAAAACUGGUGACUGGGGCUAAAU
rnacentral:rRNA from 1 species